CUAUCUGCGAGUGUCUGGAGUUUUGAUUCUUGGAAUACCUGGUUUUAGACCUGGAUUCUUUCAUCAGAUGACAUCUGGAAUGUUGAAUUUUUUAAAGAGCUGAAUCCUCUGGAGAUUAAGUAGUAGAUAUAAGGCUUUCAGGUUUAGGAGUCAGAAGAUAUGAUGCAGAGCGCAUCUAAGGUUUUUUUCUCAGCAAUAUUUUUCCAUUGCGACUUUUCAUUAGGUGCCCUGAACCAGCCGCAGAAGGGCAGUGUGACAUCCCGUGAGGUGUCUAGGAAUACUAGUUCCUAGUCGUGUUUCCUGACCUCUGGGGAGAGGGUCCACCAAAGGUCCCUCUGCACCGGGACCGAAUUUCAGUCACUGAUUUACAUAUCCUGGAAAGUGCUUCUGAACCCCUAUGAUGAUCACAAAGCCCACACCAGUGUCUUGGACUCUCUCUGAAUAUUCAUGUCAUCUACUUGGCCCCCAGUUCUCGCAUCCUCUAAGAUGUUCAUUCCUGAACGGAAGAUGCUUUAAAAAAUCGUGGCCUUGGGCAUUCGUCUCCCAAAGGUGCUCUUUGACCUGCAGUGACCCUGACACGCACGGUGCGGCUGUGCCCCGGGCAUGGUGGCCCAGGAGGUGCCCAGGUUUGGUCCCUUCCACACUGGCCUGCUCCAGUUUGGUGAGGGAUGGCUCCGAACCCAGCACGACUUUGUGGUUCACAGACCAGAGGGGCAUUAGUUCUUGGGCGCCAGUGAGAAGACAGAUCUGACACUCACUGCAAACCUGGAUAUUUUUAAUUAAUUUGUAAAUUUUUGGCUGCCCUGGGUCUUUGUUGCUGCAUGCGGGCUUUCUCUGGUUGCAGAGCAGGGGGUUGCCGCACUGGGGCUUCUCACUGCGGGGGCUUCUUUAGUUUCGGGGCACAGGUUCUAGGUGCAUGGACUUCAAUAGUUGCAGCAUGCGGGCUCAGUAGUUGUAGCUCUCAGGCUUAGCUGUUCCGAGGCCUGUGGAAUCUUCCCAGACCAGGGAUCGAAAACAUGUUCCCUGCAUUGGUGGGCAGAUUCUUAUCCACUGUGCCACCAGGGAAAUCCCAACAAAUUUGGGUAUUUGGAUGUCAGAAAAAUUUUCUAUGUUAACUAGAUUUUGUAACAUGAUAUGGAGAGCAUAGUUGAGAUUAAAGCAGUGUUUCUUCAAGUGCUGGCUUUCGGCCUGCCCUAGAACGAAUGCUAUCUAUUUACCCCUGAUUUUUGAGGUCGAUGCAGGACAGAAAUAUCCACAUGCUGGGACCUGUUUACCAAGAAACCAAUGGUGGCUGGGAGCAAACCCUCGUCUUCAAAUAAGAAAAAUGACAAAUGGUUGUCAGGUGGUGUGGGUGUGUGUGUGCAAAUAAGUGUGUGACUUCACAGCCAACUUCUAUUACUUCUUGGCUGGCUGUGGAGGAUAGAUUUGAUUGCUGACAUUAAUUGAGAAAAAAUAAAUCAGCUUUUGCUCACAAGUCUGAUGACAUACAUGUGUCUUUAAGAGCUCAAUUCUCUGCUCUUUUGUGGUUUGGGGGUUUUUUCUUGGGCAGCUCCUGAGGGUCUGAAAUAAGGUGGGAGAACACCUUGGUUUCUGUAGGUACUCAGAACCAGUAGUCACCCAUGACUUGACCAGACCCACUAGGCUAGAAUUUUAGACUAAGAAGGGAUCCCAGAGAUCAUUCUAGCCCAAGCUUCUUGUUUUACAGCCCAGAGGGUCUCCCAUCAGAUAAGUAGCAGAGCAGAUCUAGCAUCUGGUUCCCCUCUUAAUCUCGGAUUUUUUUCCUGCUGGACUAGGGUGUGCUUCCUGAGAACCUUCUCCAUCUUAGAAUUGAGUACCGUUGCUAUUAAGCCUCAGAAUCUGUAAGCAUUUGUCCCAGGUUGCCUGGUUUUCAUAGAUUUAAGCAUAGUGUAUUGGCAAAGGAUCAAAACUACGGGGCAGGCACAAAUGCUUUUCAGGGUCUGUCCCUAGAUAAAUCUGACAGGCGCCAUAUAAUGAUGACGGCCUGACACCCACUCACCCAAAAGAUAGGUUUUAUUAACAGCAAAACAACCAUCUGGAUUUCAGCCAACAUUACAGUGUUGGCACCGAAUGACUUCCAUUUGCCUGUCUAGACAAACCCCUCUAACAUUCAGGUACUUGGGGAAGUGAAAUGAGAAUUAAGUCAUAAAGGAGUAGGAGACUCUAGUCCACAAAUAUUACAAUAUAAUUCCCCCCAACUAUAUUAUUUCCCAACAGUCAAAACACACAAGUUGUAACACCUAAUAAAGCAUAUUUGAAAGAAGGGAAAGAUCUUCCUAUUUUCACAUGCCCAUUUAUCUUAUCUUUCUGCAUCAAGGUAUGCAAUCCUCAAGGUAUGAAGUUAUAUCUAAACCCAUGAAUGCCUAUAUGUACACUUUGCCUCCCAGCCAGAACACAGCUGAUGUACCUUGGGUGGCACCCCUCACUGGAACUCUUAGAUGACUCUUGACCUAGGUUUGGUGCCUGAUUGUUAUUAUCCUACUUAAUUUCUGAAGUCCUCAAAGAGUUUAAAAAAAAAUGGAUUUGUACACUUGGCUGAGCGGGUAUAUACAAUCACUUACUGUCAGCACUUGCAGAGUUGCCUCAAGAAAGAAUCUUUAGAUGCUGAGAAGCUUCUCAGUUAGAAGAGAAAGGAGAGAUGGCAGGAGCAAAUGAAGGCGAAGAAGACCUCCAAAUGAAACUGACGAAGCUGUUCAGUGGCUGGGGACACAGAUAAGCGCCUACGUGUAUAAAGGAUGCACUGGUUUAUGAGAAUAAAAUAGUUUUCUACAAAGUCCAUUAUUCAUGAAGCAUGCAUUUAGAACUGGGCCUGGAAGAAAGCUAUUGUAUGCAUUUUUAUGUUAUAUAUUGUAUCUAUAAUAGGAAGAUUGUUAGGAAAAUGAAGCCAACAGAAGACUUCAGAGAGCUUGGCUGGCCUUAGAGAUGGUCUGAUGGUGUUACACGUAACCUAAUGAGGCCCCAUGCUUCUUAGUACCUUGUGGUAUUCUCUUGAACAAACUGGGGCUAAGCAUGUAAAAGGAAGCUUCCUUUUGGUUACAAACUGUUACAUGAAGCCCAGCUUCAGUCGUGAUAAAAUGAUGGCAAACCGUUUUAUGGUUGUAUUUUUGUGCUUCUAUCACCUAAAACCAUGGAGGCAAUUAUUUUUAAGCAGAAGGAAGUAGGGGAGAUUAUAGCAGUGAUUUUUCACUAGCAGGGAAUUUUGUUCCCCAGGUGAUACUUGGCCAUGUUCAGACAUUUUUUGUCAUUGCACUGUGUCUGCACGUGUGCGGAUGUCACUGGUAGCUAGUGGGCAGAGGCCAAGGGCGCUGAAAUGCACAGGACAGUCCCCACAAGGAAGAAUUAUCCAGCCCUAAAUGUCAGUGGGGCUGCCGUGGGGAAACCCUCAAAGGAUGCACGCGACAUCACGAAAUCGAUAGAGUCUAAUCUCGGUCCUCAUCUUGUCAGACUAAUGACAAUGAAUCACUGCCUUUUGUGCCUCUGUUUCCCUAUUUGCAAAAUGGGGAUAAUGAACACGUUCUUUAUAAUAACAUCACGAGGAGUCAUGAAAUUAUAUAUGCAAAACACUCUGACUUCUUCAGAAGAAAGGGUCUCUAUAAAAUCAAAGCACAGUUAUGAUUAUGGCACUAUUAUGAGCUCAUGAAAUUGCGUCUUAAGAACUGUACUCCUCCCCCUCAAAAAAAAAAAAAAAAUUCCUCCAGGGAAAGAAAACAAACCAGAAUGAGCUCAUCAUGAUUACACCUGCCACACCAAAAAACAGACACUGUUCAGAGAAGCUAAAUUCUUUCCCUCCAGCAACGAAGCAAGCUGCGUCUGUAAUUAAGAUCUUAAUAAGGGGGGGACGGGAGGCUGGAUGCAGACGCCGCAGGCUUCUCUGAAGUGCAGAGCCAUCCCGCCAGGUUUCAACAAGAACAAUCGAAACACAGCCCCGCUCACUGCCUCGUGAGGUCUCAGGUGGUCUCAGACCAGCUCUCUGCAUGGUCUGUAUUUCAAAGGGCUUGCCUUCAUUUCUUCACUUCCGCAAGGAGAAAGAAAAGGACCGUCUUAUUACUUACAAGUGAGUGUGUGUGUGCUCAGUUGCCAAGUCGUGUUGACUCUUCGCAACCCCACGGACUGCAGCACUCCAGGGUGCCCUGUCCCUCACCACCUCCCGGAAUAAAAUGUGAUGUCGCAGAUAUCAUUUAGAAGUAAAUUAUGAAAAGUGUGCCAGAAUCCACUUUAGAAAAAAGAAGCCCCUAGGCAAUUUUCUGAUAAAAAGCUGGAAAAAGUCAGACAGAAAGCUGACCUAAGGCAAAAAGGAUAAUGCCCUGGACAGCCGAUUGAUCUUGAGAGCAGCUUGUGUUUAGCGUCCGGAACGACCAUGUAUAAACUUCCCAAGAUGGUCCCCGUUUCAAAUAUCCUUCCCUGGGUUAGACCAUCUGUCCCAUGUUGGGGUCUGUGAAACAUGAAUACGUACCCACAGAAGGGAAAUAUAUUUUAAACUAAAAAUAAAAGAUAGGCCUCCAAGUAUGUGCCUUGUUAAUGGAUCUGCCUUGGUUGAAUUUAGGAUACAGGAGAAAAAAAGACAGGUACUGAUAAGAAUCUUGUAUUUAGUCAAUGGACGUGUUCUCUCAUUGGCAAGGAAUCAAGAUCUAUUCCAAGGGCAUCUGGGCCUCUGCGGGACUGUCGAGCCGUCCAACUUCACCAUGGACGCCCCUGGGCUAACUGUGUCCUUAGCAUCCCUUUCCCGGCGCUCACUGCACUUAGCAGCUCUGAGUGGGAAAGGAUGGAGAAUCAGAGAAGAACACGGACGUUCUAUCCCAGAGGAGCACUAGAAGGGACGUGGAGAUGGUUUUCUGCCAGUGUUGUUUUCAUGGUCCUGAAGCAGCGCUGGGCCUCUGAGUCGUUUCCUGCUGACUCUAAGUCACACCAUGAAUGACGAGCAACAACAAGCAAACAAACAAAAAACCAGUGACAACAGACUAGAUCCUUGGCACGUCCUGUGAGGAGGCUGCAGAGCCUAGAAGUCCACUUUCCUGCCUCCGCAGACUGCUGGCUUGGCGGGUUAAGGUUAUUCAGGGGCUGAGAGAGGGAAGGCCAGCUCAUUCUUUCAGUAGAGUGCAGAGCCUGGGAACAGAGAAGCCUAGCCCUGAGUCAGCCCCAUCUUCUGUGGGCGUGAGGUUCUGAGUUCCGGGUAACACGCCGACUACCACAACUCAGUGAGACUACAGCUAAUUCAUACAAGAGACAGCACUGGGUUUCCACAUAACUAGAACAAGUAAGGAAAAAUACUGUCUAAAUACACAUUGCUUUAUUUAAAUAGAAAGAUCUGGUUCAAAUCUUAACCAUAUAUGCCAUUUGGUGAUCACAACUUAGAGUUUCACAAAUAAUCCCCCCUCCCCAACACACACAACUAAGAGUAAAGAAGGGCAUGAAACUCAAAUUCAAAAGAUGCUAUUAAGCAUUUUUGUGCUAUGCUUGCACUUUUAGGUACUCAGGGUUGCUAAAUCUUUACUUCUGGUAAGUAUAGAAAUCAACAUUCCACAUAAGGAACAAUUUUGGUAACAUCUUAUAACUAUUACCUUGACAUAUUAGAAAUAUCAGGAGGAAUUCUCAUCUGCAACGUACAUACCAAGAUCUACAAAGAAAUAAGAUGUCUUCAAAUCAGUAAACCCAGCCUUUGAAUAAGGAUCAUGAACCACCUACCUAAAUACCAUUGAGCACAAUUCAUGUACUAAAUUAACUGGGGAAGAGGCUGAGAGAAGGGACUAGUCUUUUUGUUUUAAAAAAGAAUAAACUGGAAUUUAGUGGUCCAUGAUGUGUGUGUGUGUUCUCAGUUGCUUAGUCGUUUCCGAUUCUUUGUGGCCCCAUGGACUAUAGUCCACCAGGCUCCUCUGUGCAUGGGAUUUCCCAGGCAAGAAUACUGGAGUAGAUUGCCAUUUCCUACCCCUGGAGAUCUUCCUGACCCAGGGACCAAACCCUGGUCCCUUGUGUCUCCUGCAUUGGCAGGCAAAUUCUUUACCACUGAGCUACCUGGGAGUCCCAGUCCAUGAUGAGACUAAGAAUAUGUAUUUAAAAACACUCCACUGGGAGCUUUAUUGGAUUGGCCCAAAAGUUCAUUUUAUUGGAAGAUAUAUGGAAAAACCCAAAUGAACUUUUGGCCAACCCAAUAUUAUCUCUAUGAUUAGCUGCCCCUCCCCCACCCCCUACCUCAACCAUGAAAAAUCACAGUCACAUGCUAUCACUGCUUAUAUUUUCUGGGCAGUCUGUUCCACCUUCCUCAAAGUGCAUGCCUCAAUUCACCUAGAUCACACUGUCUGCCUUUUGAAAGAACGGCUCUUUCCAGUGUAGAGUUUAAAAGGUUACCAACGAACCAUUUAUCUUAAAAUGAAGAUUCCUCAGGAAGACAGUCUUUUUCAGCUAAGCUGUAAUGAGUGAGCGUGAAAAAGCUGGCUUAAAACUCAACAUUCAAAAACCUAAGAUCAUGGCAUCCAGUACCAUCAUUUCAUGGAAAAUAGAUGGGGAAACAAUGGAAACAGUGACACUUUAUUUUCUUGGGUUCCAAAAUCACUGCACAUGGUGACUGCAGCCAUGAAAUUAAAAGACACUUGCUCCUUGGAAGAAAAGCUAUGACCAACCUAGGCAGCAUAUUAAAAUGCAGAGACACUACUUCGCCGACAAAGGUCCAUCUAGUCAAAGCUAUGAUUUUUCCAGUAGUCAUGUAUGGAUGUGAGAGUUGGACUACAGAGGAAGCUGAGAGCCAAAGAAUUGAUGCUUUUGAACUGUGGUGUUGGCAAAGACUCUUGAGAGUCCCUUGGACUGUAAGGAGAUCCAACCAGUCCAUCCUAAAGGAAAUCAGUCCUGAAUAUUAAUUGGAAGGACUGAUUGCUGAAGCUGAAACUCCAAUACUUUGGCUACUGGAUGCAAAGAACUGACUCAUCUGAAAAGACCCUGUUGCUGGGAAAGAUUGAAGGCAGGAGGAGAAGGGGGCAACAGAGGAUGAGAUGGUUGAAUGGCAUCACCAACUCAAUGGACAUGAGUUUGAGCAAGCUGUGGGAGUUGGUGACAGGGAGGCCUGGCGUGCUGCAGUCCAUGGGGUCGCAAAGAGUCUAACACGACUGGGUUCAGUGACUGAACUGAGCUGUAAUGUUCUCCAGACGUGUGGAGUCCUCCUUUAUUAGUAAGAAAUCCUGCAAGGAGAUAACUGGAAUGUUCAAAGUAAAUAAGAUGGAGGUGGGGUUGUUGACAAAGUAUAAACGGGUUUGUUUUUUUUUAGGGGGACCCCUUUUCCAUGCCCACGUUCUUUGCAAUCAUCCAUUGCCUAGGUAACUGGUAGCUAUUUUCUGCAUUUUAAAUUGAAAAGAGAGUAUUUCUUUCCAGUGGCCCCAUUUUGUUUAUCUUGGCAAGGAGGCUUGGUAAUUAAGUCUAUAUGUUACUGGAGGGCUGGGAUACCAGGGGCUGGGAUUUCAAACCGAUUUGUUUAGGUUCCUUUCUAAGCCUAAAGUGAUCUAAAAACAGAUCAGCAGCACCUCUAACUUUAUACCUCUGUCACUUUGACUGCAGUAGGAUAAGGGAUGUGGUUCACCCCGAGCCCUACUCACCUUCUGUAUCAAAUCCACCUUUGAUUCUUUAGUCAGGACUUUUCUCUUUUUUUCAGUAAUAUUUUCGUUAUGGAAAAACAAUUCUAGGGAAGGUUUUCUCUUACAUUUUAACCUAUAUAGUGCAUCUAUCAAUAUACCUAUAUAAGAGUAUAUUCUGAAUAUUUUAUAUAUCUUAUCAAUGUGUCAUACCAUGGCUGCCAUUUUUAAAUGGCUACUAUGUGCUAGAAACAGAUGAUUUUCAUAUAUUAUAUCCUUACAACUAUCAAAUGAGACAGGUACUAUUACUCCCAUUUUAUAAAAGAGGAAAUGGAGGCUUGCCUAAAAUUAUACUGUUAAAAAGCAACAAAAGUGGAAUUUAAAACCAAAUCUAUAUUCUUUCUAAUAGGCCAUAUGGGGGAAACUCUUUUAAUAGCUAUUUGUGUAUUGCAUAUAAUCCAAUAUUCAAUUCAAUGUUUGUUGAGUACCUACAACGAGCAAGGGCCUAUAACCUUAGGAAUAUCAAAUCUUAUUAGUGACAAUGAAGAUACCAAAGCACUAAUAUAUUAGCAAGUGGGGACACAGGUGUGUCGGUACACCCCUAUGUCUGACGUCUGCAUUUCUACAAGACACAACCAGGCCCAUGGAAUAUUUAAUAGUACUCGAUUAUCUUAACACAGUAAAUAGGGUUUUGACAUAAUCCAAGUUUUGAGUCCACACUAUUCUUUCAACCUCUAAUGGGCAUCUACUUAUGUAAGGAGAGCUGGGGCCUGCUAGAACUGUCUAUUUCCAAUGGAGCCAUGGUAAAUACCUCACCAUGGAAAAUAUCUCACUUAGGCUUUAGAAUGAUCCACGAGGCCAUAUUUACCCUACUUUGGUGGUGGUGGUGCUCACUCCCUCCGUCAUGUCUGACUCUUUGCGACCCUGUGGACUGUGGCCCGCCAGGCUCCUCUGUCCCUGGGAUUUCCCAGGCAAGAGUACUGGAGUGGGUUGCCAUUUCCUCCUCCAGGGGAUCUUCCCGACCCAGGGAUUGAACCUGAGUCUCCUGCAUUUGAGGUGGAUUCUUUACCGCUGAGCCACCCUACAGAUAAGAAAGCUGAGGCUCCCAGAACUUAACUUGCCCAAGGUUACAGAGCAUCGAGUCACAGGAAACAGAAAUGCCUUUCCCCAAAUCUCACACUCUUCCUUGCUUCUACUGCAAGAACACAUAAGACCAAAUCCCUGCCCAGGUCACAACACAUAGCAGAUCCUGGUUUAUUCAAGGACUUGCCUGUCAAUCUGCCUCUACAUACAGAUAAAGGGUGAGUCUCUCACAUUGAGUGGGGCUUACCUAAAGCUGGACAGCCCCCGUGGGCAACCUUGGUGAGUUCCAGGUAUCAUUUAGAUAGUGAUAUGAUUGAAAGGGGUUAAUGAGUAAGGCAGUGCUAACAGAGUCGGGCAGAGGUGAAAAAUAGAAAGCCUAUUGUAGCGAUGACAGGAGACAAAGGUGUGGGCUUCUGAUUGUUGUCUAGAGUGGAGGGAUGAGGAGACUUGACUUGUAGCAAGUACAGACGAACCAAGUCACGCAGGCACAAAGAGCAAGGAGCCAAUGAAUGGAAGCAGCAAGGGACCAAGAUUUUCCAUAGCCGAUUCAGAAGAGAGGAGGAAGACGGGGGUACAGAGAGCGCUUUAAGUGUGUGUCACGUCUGUGUGGGUGGGGGGAGGCCAGCCUGAUAGAAGUCUGGUGCUGGAGAAGUAUAAUGAAUGCUUGAAUGAAAAAAAUGAGAGACGAUGAGGUCAUAAGGGCACAAAAGGGGAGGGAAUUGGCAAAGAGGCUUGAAAAGUAGAGAGGAAGUUUCUUUAGAAGUGGGGCGGGGUGGGGGGUUGGUGGUGCAGACAGGAAGCCACUGAUGAAUUCUUAGAAGAGGACUGAUGUAUAUUCCAGCAAAGAAGGGAUGCUUAAGGAAUCUUUGUUACGUGCAUCUUGCAGACUUGGUGCUGAGAACACCUUCAGUUCCGUAAAGACUUUGAUCUCCAAGUAGGAAUAAACACAAAUGCAUGGGAAAACAAGCUGCUGAGCGUCCUGACACUCUUUUGAGUUUCGGAGACAAUAAACCGGCUGGAGCCUUCAGACCCUCCGUCCAUUCAAACGCCAAUGAAAGUGUUUCCAAGAAAUGGCAUAAAAACAGAAAAAGAGACACAGAAAUACAGAACAGACUUUUGAACUCUGUGGGAGAAUGUGAGGGUGGGAUAUUUCAAAAGAACAGCAUGUAUACUAUCUAUGGUGAAACAGAUCACCAGCCCAGGUGGGAUGCACGAGACAAGUGCUCCGGCCUGGUGCACUGGGAAGACCCAGAGGAAUCGGGUGGAGAGGGAGGUGGGAGGGGGGAUCGGGAUGGGAAAUACAUGUAAAUCCAUGACUGAUUCAUAUCAAUGUAUGACAAAACCCACUGAAAUGUGAAGUAAUUAGCCUCCAACUAAUAAAAAAAAAAAAACAAAAAAAAAACCACGUAAAGAAAUGGCAUAUACUCAGUUGGUUCUGAAUCCAACAUCCUUUAUGGGUAUCAAAAUCCUCCAUCAUCAGCUGUAUAAUA